UUAGCAGCCAUUGCGGUAAUUCCAGCUCCAAUAGCGUAUAUUAAAGUUGCUGCGGUUAAAAAGCUCGUAGUUGAAUUUCGGAAUUGAUGCAUCGGUCGUGCCUUAAGGGGCAUGAACUGGUGUAGCCAAUUUCUCACCUUCUGGUGAAUUGUGAUGUUCUUAAUGGGUGUCUCAAUGAACUAGAAUUUUUUACUUUGAAAAAAUUAGAGUGUUUAAAGCAGGCAUUGAUUUGCUUGAAUACAUUAGCAUGGAAUAAUGAAAUAGGACGUGGUUCCUUCCGUUUUGUUGGUUUCUAGGAUCACGUAAUGAUUAAUAGGGACAGUUGGGGGCAUUAGUAUUCAAUUGUCAGAGGUGAAAUUCUUGGAUUUAUUGAAGACUAACUAUUGCGAAAGCAUUUGCCAAGGAUGUUUUCAUUAAUCAAGAACGAAAGUUAGGGGAUCAAAGACGAUUAAGUACGUCGUAGUCCUAACCAUAAACUAUACCGACUAGGAAUCAGACGAUGUUAAUUUUUUAAUGACUCGUUUGGUACCUUACG
rnacentral:rRNA from 1 species